rnacentral:rRNA from 1 species
ACUGCUCAGUAACACGUGGAUAACCUGCCCUUGGGUCCGGCAUAACUCCGGGAAACUGGAGAUAAUUCCGGAUAACGCAUAUAUGCUGGAAUGCUUUAUGCGUAAAAUGGAUUCGUCUGCCCAAGGAUGGGUCUGCGGCCUAUCAGGUAGUAGUGGGUGUAAUGUACCUACUAGCCUACGACGGGUACGGGUUGUGAGAGCAAGAGCCCGGAGAUGGAUUCUGAGACAUGAAUCCCGGCCCUACGGGGCGCAGCAGGCGCGAAAACUUUACAAUGCGGGAAACCGUGAUAAGGGGACACCGAGUGCCAGCAUCAUAUGCUGGCUGUCCAGGUGUGUAAAAUACACCUGUUAGCAAGGGCCGGGCAAGACCGGUGCCAGCCGCCGCGGUAACACCGGCGGCCCGAGUGGUGAUCGUGAUUAUUGGGUCUAAAGGGUCCGUAGCCGGUUUGGUCAGUCCUCCGGGAAAUCUGAUAGCUCAACUAUUAGGCUUUCGGAGGAUACUGCCAGACUUGGAACCGGGAGAGGUAAGAGGUACUACAGGGGUAGGAGUGAAAUCUUGUAAUCCCUGUGGGACCACCUGUGGCGAAGGCGUCUUACCAGAACGGGUUCGACGGUGAGGGACGAAAGCUGGGGGCACGAACCGGAUUAGAUACCCGGGUAGUCCCAGCCGUAAACGAUGCUCGCUAGGUGUCAGGCAUGGCGCGACCGUGUCUGGUGCCGCAGGGAAGCCGUGAAGCGAGCCACCUGGUAAGUACGGCCGCAAGGCUGAAACUUAAAGGAAUUGGCGGGGGAGCAC